rnacentral:rRNA from 1 species
AUACGUAGGGGGCGAGCGUUGUCCGGAAUGAUUGGGCGUAAAGGGCGUGUAGGCGGCCCGGUAAGUCUGGAGUGAAAGUCCUGUUUUUAAGAUGGGAAUUGCUUUGGAUACUGUCGGGCUUGAGUGCAGGAGAGGUAAGUGGAAUUCCCAGUGUAGCGGUGAAAUGCGUAGAGAUUGGGAGGAACACCAGUGGCGAAGGCGACUUACAUGACUGUAACUGACGCUGAGGCGCGAAAGUGUGGGGAGCAAACAGGACUAGAUACCCUGGUAGUCCACACUGUAAACGAUGAAUGCUAGGUGUAGGGGGUAUCGACCCCUUCUGUGCCGCAGUCAACACAAUAAGCAUUCCGCCUGGGGAGUACGGCCGCAAGGUUGAAACUCAAAUGAAUUGACGGGG